rnacentral:rRNA from 1 species
GAUGAACGCUAGCGGCAGGCUUAAUACAUGCAAGUCGAGGGGCAGCAGGACGGUAGCAAUACCGUUGCUGGCGACCGGCAAACGGGUGCGGAACACGUACGCAACCUACCCAUAACUGGGGGAUAGCCCGGGGAAACCCGGAUUAAUACCUCGUAACCUUAUGAAGUGGCAUCGCUUUAUAAGUAUAGCUCCGGCGGUUAUGGAUGGGCGUGCGCCUGAUUAGGUAGUUGGCGGGGUAACGGCCCACCAAGCCUGCGAUCAGUAACUGGUGUGAGAGCACGGCCAGUCACACGGGCACUGGAACACGGGCCCGACUCCUACGGGAGGCAGCAGUAAGGAAUAUUGGUCAAUGGACGCAAGUCUGAACCAGCCAUGCCGCGUGAAGGAUGAAGGUCCUCUGGAUUGUAAACUUCUUUUAUAGGGGAAGAAAUCUGAAUAUUCCUAUUCAGUUGACGGUACCCUAGGAAUAAGCACCGGCUAACUCCGUGCCAGCCGCCGCAGUAACAC